AUUCCAGCUCCAAUAGCAUAUAUUAAAGUUGUUGCAGUUAAAAAGCUCGUAGUUGGAUUUCUGGCAUGAUGCGCCUGGCCCGCCUCAAUUAUGAGCGUGUGUGUCAGCGCGCGUCUGCCAUCCAUUUGCAGAAUGUAUCUACCCUUCAUUGGGCCGGAUACGUGAUGUAAAUCUUUUACUUUGAAAAAAUUAGAGUGUUUAAAGCAGGCAUUUGCUAUGAAUACAUUAGCAUGGAAUAAUAAUCUAGGACUUCGGUUCUAUUUUGUUGGUUUCUAGAUCUGGAGUAAUGAUUGAUAGGGAUAGUUGGGGGUGCUAGUAUUAAGGGGCCAGAGGUGAAAUUCUUGGAUUCUCUUAAGACUAACUUAUGCGAAAGCAUUCACCAAGGAUGUCUUCAUUA
rnacentral:rRNA from 1 species